rnacentral:piRNA from 1 species
UGACAGAACGAUGCUUGCUCAGUGA